rnacentral:rRNA from 1 species
UUAUCAAAAACAUCGCUCUUUGAAAUUUACAGAUAAAGAGUCGUGCCUGCCCAGUGAAUUUUUUUAACGGCCGCAGUACCCUGACUGUGCUAAGGUAGCAUAAUCACUUGUUUUUUAAUUGAAAGCUUGUAUGAAUGGCUUGACGCAGGUAAAGCUGUCUCUUUUAUAUUAAAUAAAAAUUAAUUUUUAAGUGCAGAAGCUUAAAUAAAACCAAAAGACGAAAAGACCCUAUCGAGCUUGAAAAUUAUAAUUAAAUUAAAUUUAUAGUAAAAUAAUUUUUAAUUAAUUUUUUUUGUUGGGGCGACAAAAGAACAAAUAAAGCUUCUUUUCAUUUUAUAAAUUUAUAAAUUUAUAGAUCCAUAAAUUAUGAUUAAAAGAAAAAGCUACCGUAGGGAUAACAGCGUUAUUUUUUCAAAGAGUUCUUAUCGAAGAAAANGUUUGCGACCUCGAUGUUGGAUUAAAGUAACUUUUAAGUGCAGAAGCUUAAAUAGUGGGUCUGUUCGACCCUUAAACCUUU